rnacentral:rRNA from 2 species
UUAAAUUGAAGAGUUUGAUCAUGGCUCAGAUUGAACGCUGGCGGCAGGCCUAACACAUGCAAGUCGAACGGUAACAGGAAGCAGCUUGCUGCUUUGCUGACGAGUGGCGGACGGGUGAGUAAUGUCUGGGAAACUGCCUGAUGGAGGGGGAUAACUACUGGAAACGGUGGCUAAUACCGCAUAACGUCGCAAGACCAAAGAGGGGGACCUUCGGGCCUCUUGCCAUCAGAUGUGCCCAGAUGGGAUUAGCUUGUUGGUGAGGUAACGGCUCACCAAGGCGACGAUCCCUAGCUGGUCUGAGAGGAUGACCAGCCACACUGGAACUGAGACACGGUCCAGACUCC